UACAUUGUGGUGUAAGGCACGUAAAUUUUUGGAUUUUAAGGAAAAGGCUCGUUACCUUUCGUUGUAA
rnacentral:tRNA from 1 species